AUGGUGUCGUGGAGCGACGAGACCAGUGAGGAUUCAGUCAUGAACAUCUCCUCCUCCUGCGAUGGCAUCAUCCAGCUUCCAGCUACGAUGCACGAUCCAAAUUUCAAUGGCACUGACGCAGAUGUGAAUGUUUUGUGCGAACACGGCGAGCCGGCCGAGCGCUUUGUUGCAUUUGAAGGGAUGCACACCGGCAGGAGGUUUAUAGGAUGUGCUAAGAAGGAAGGCAUAAACUGUGGAGUAGUUCAAUGGAUUGAUUUUGAAUGGCCAGACUCAAUGGAGAAGGCAUUGGCCAAGUUAUGGGAUAUGUAUGAGGAGAUUAAGUCAGCUAGGACCAAUGACAAUCUGGAGAGUUCCUUUGCAAUUCACAACCUGACAGAAGAGAAGAAGAAACUACAGGAGAAUUAUGAUAGUUUGUAUGCUGAUGUCAAUGCUCUCUUGGAUGCCCAGCAACAGAGGGGUCUGGAGUUGAACAAUCAAAAGGAGCAGAAGCAAUGUCUUGAUGUGAAGAUUGCAGAGCUAGAAACUGUAGUGGGCAACUUGAAGGCAGAGCUGGCAAAGAAAGAGGAGGAGAAGAAGAAAGUACAUGAGGACUAUGACAGUUUGUAUGCUGAUGUGAAUGCUCUCUUGGAUGCCCAACAGCAGAAGGGUGUGGAGUUAAACAAUCAGAAGGAGCAGAAGGAAUAUGUUGAUGUGAAGAUUGCUGAGCUAGAAAUUGUAGUGGGCAACUUCAAGGUAGAAUUGUCAAAGAAAGAGGGGGAGAAGAAGCUGCUGCAAAAAUAUGAGACUCUAGUGAACCUGACAGGUGCUCAAGCCAAUGUGAUUAGGAACUUGAAGUUCAAUCAUUUGAAGGAGAAGGAAAGGCUGACAGAAGAGAGGCUUAAAUGCAGCAUCACAUUUCUGAGCUUCAAAAGUCUGAGGAGAAGAUAA
rnacentral:rRNA from 1 species